CUCCACCCUGGCUCUCAACUCCCACUGGCUGCAGCCAGCAGCCAGGAGGCCAGAGGACUCCCACCUGACCACCAGCCGUGGAGGGGGCCAGAUGCUUGGGCUUAAGGAGGAAGAAAAGAAAGACAAGCACCAAGCCUGGCGUCCUCUUACCUUGUUUGUCUGCAAAGCUGUCUGGGACAGAGGGGGUGGGCACAGCCAGUCCAUGGUUCUCCUGGGCGUCCAGAGGAAGAAAAGUCAGUAGGGGUCGGACUCUGGGCCGAGCUUUCAGCGUGGCGGUUCCUGACUCACUCACUGUGUCAAAUCGGUUGUCGCCAAAAUAGAUCCCAUCUAGAGGGGAAAAGU